AGCGAACGCUGGCGGCAGGCCUAACACAUGCAAGUCGAACGAAGUCUUCGGACUUAGUGGCGGACGGGUGAGUAACACGUGGGAACGUACCUUUUGGUUCGGAACAACUCAGGGAAACUUGAGCUAAUACCGGAUGAGCCCUUCGGGGGAAAGAUUUAUCGCCAUUAGAGCGGCCCGCGUUAGAUUAGCUAGUUGGUGAGGUAAAGGCUCACCAAGGCUACGAUCUAUAGCUGGUCUGAGAGGAUGAUCAGCCACACUGGGACUGAGACACGGCCCAGACUCCUACGGGAGGCAGCAGUGGGGAAUCUUGCGCAAUGGGCGAAAGCCUGACGCAGCCAUGCCGCGUGAAUGAUGAAGGUCUUAGGAUUGUAAAAUUCUUUUACCAGGGACGAUAAUGACGGUACCUGGAGAAAAAGCCCCGGCUAACUUCGUGCCAGCAGCCGCGGUAACAC
rnacentral:rRNA from 1 species